rnacentral:rRNA from 1 species
GAUGAACGCUGGCGGCGUGCUUAAUACAUGCAAGUCGAGCGGACGGACGCGACGCUUGCUUCUUUGAUGUUUGCGGAAGGCGGGUGAGAAACACGUGUAUAACCUCCUUAUAAUUGUGGGAUCACUUCGGGACACCGGCUCUUACACCGGAUAAUCUCUUGCACCGCAUGGUUCAUAAGUGAAAGUCGGUCUUGCUGUAUCUUAUCGAUGGUUCCGCGCUGCAUUAGCUAGUUGUUAAGGUCCCGGCCUACCAAGGCUACGAUGCGUAGCCGACCGGAGAGGGUGAUCAGCCGCCCUGGAACGGAGACACGGUCCAGACGCCUACGGGAGGCAGCAGGAGGGAAUCUUCAGCAAUGGGCGAAAGCCUGACGGAGCAACGCCGCGUGAGUAAUGAGGAUCUUCGGAUCGUAGAACUCUGUUAUUAGGGAAGAACAUAUGUGUAAGUAACUGUGCACGUCUUGACGGUACCUAAGCAGAAAGCCACGGCUAACUACGUU